AAAUGGCACGGUUGAACUUACAAACCAAUGUGAGGGUUUGCUUGAGCUGAAAGUGUGUGAGUCAGAAUGAACCUUUCAGAGUUGCCUGGAGGUUGCUCUGAACUCUGUUAGCUCUUCUCUCACUAUCUUUUUCCCAGACAGGGUAAUAGGAAUAAAAUUGCCUUUUGUUUCACUGAAACUCUGAAUUUAUAACCUGAUUUUUUUGGACCU
rnacentral:lncRNA from 1 species